rnacentral:rRNA from 1 species
ACAGGGAUUGCCUCAGUAACGGCGAGUGAAGCGGCAACAGCUCAAAUUUGAAAUCUGGCCCCAGGCCCGAGUUGUAAUUUGCAGAGGAUGCUUUUGGCGCGGUGCCUUCCGAGUUCCCUGGAACGGGACGCCAUAGAGGGUGAGAGCCCCGUACGGUUGGACACCAAGCCUUUGUAAAGCUCCUUCGACGAGUCGAGUAGUUUGGGAAUGCUGCUCUAAAUGGGAGGUAUAUUUCUUCUAAAGCUAAAUAUAGGCCAGAGACCGAUAGCGCACAAGUAGAGUGAUCGAAAGAUGAAAAGCACUUUGAAAAGAGGGUUAAACAGCACGUGAAAUUGUUAAAAGGGAAGCGCUUGUGACCAGACUUGCGUCCGGUGAAUCACCCAGCUCUCGCGGCUGGGGCACUUUGCCGGCACAGGCCAGCAUCAGCUCGCUGUCGGGGACAAAAGCUUCGGGAACGUAGCUCUCUUCGGGGAGUGUUAUAGCCCGUUGCAUAAUACCCUUCGGUGGGCUGAGGUACGCGCUCCGCAAGGAUGCUGGCGUAAUGGUCAUCAGCGACCCGUCUUGAAACACGGACCAAGGAGUCAACCUUAUGUGCGAGUGUUUGGGUGUUAAACCCCUACGCGUAAUGAAAGUGAACGCAGGUGAGAGCUUCGGCGCAUCAUCGACCGAUCCUGAUGUUCUCGGAUGGAUUUGAGUAAGAGCAUAUAGGGUUGGACCCGAAAGAAGGUGAACUAUGCGUGUAUAGGGUGAAGCCAGAGGAAACUCUGGUGGAGGCUCGCAGCGGUUCUGACGUGCAAAUCGAUCGUCAAAUAUGCGCAUGGGGGCGAAAGACUAAUCGAACCUUCUAGUAGCUGGUUUCCGCCGAAGUUUCCCUCAGGAUAGCAGUGUUGAACUCAGUUUUAUGAGGUAAAGCGAAUGAUUAGGGACUCGGGGGCGCUAUAUUGCCUUCAUCCAUUCUCAAACUUUAAAUAUGUAAGAAGCUCUUGUUACUUAAUUGAACGUGGGCAUUCGAAUGUAUCAACACUAGUGGGCCAUUUUUGGUAAGCAGAACUGGCGAUGCGGGAUGAACCGAACGCGAGGUUAAGGUGCCAGAGUAGUCGCUCAUCAGACACCACAAAAGGUGUUAGUACAUCUUGACAGCAGGACGGUGGCCAUGGAAGUCGGAAUCCGCUAAGGACUGUGUAACAACUCACCUGCCGAAUGUACUAGCCCUGAAAAUGGAUGGCGCUCAAGCGACUCACCCAUACCUCGCCCUCAGCGUAGAAACGAUGCGCUGAGGAGUAGGCGGACGUGGAGGUCAGUGACGAAGCCUA